rnacentral:rRNA from 1 species
UAAGUGAAGAGUUUGAUCAUGGCUCAGAUUGAACGCUGGCGGCAGGCCUAAUACAUGCAAGUUGAACGGUAACAGGAAAGAAGCUUGCUUCUUUUGCUGACGA